GAUGAACGCUAGCGAUAGGCUUAACACAUGCAAGUCGAGGGGUAACGUGUUGGAAGCUUGCUUCCGAUGACGACGACCGGCGGAUGGGUGCGUAACGCGUAUGCAACUUGCCUCACAGUGGAGAAUAACCCGGAGAAAUCCGGACUAAUACUCCAUACACUCUUAAGUACGCCUGUACAUGAGAGGAAAGAUUUAUCGCUGUGAGAUAGGCAUGCGUCCUAUUAGGUAGUUGGUGAGGUAACGGCUCACCAAGCCGACGAUAGGUAGGGGUGCUGAGAGGCAGAUCCCCCACAUUGGGACAGAGACACGGCCCAAACUCCUACGGGAGGCAGCAGUGAGGAAUAUUGGUCAAUGGAGGAAACUCUGAACCAGCCAAGUCGCGUGAAGGAAGAAUGUCCUAAGGAUUGUAAACUUCUUUAGCGAGCGAGUAAGGACUUCCACGUGAUGGGAGUUUGAAAGUAGCUCGAGAAUAAGUAUCGGCUAACUCCGUG
rnacentral:rRNA from 1 species